UAACGCGAAGAACCUUACUAGCUCUUGACAUGCUAGGUUUCGGGAUCGAGAGAUCGAGCCUUUCAGUUCGGCUGGGCCUAGUACAGGUGCUGCAUGGCUGUCGACAGCUCGUGUCGUGAGAUGUUGGGUUAAGUCCCGCAACGAGCGCAACCCUCGCCCUUAGUUGCCAGCGGUCCGGCCGGGCACUCUAGGGGAACUGCCGGCGACAAGCCGGAGGAAGGCGGGGAUGACGUCAAGUCCUCAUGGCCCUUACGGGCUGGGCUACACACGUGCUACAAUGGCGGUGACAGUGGGCUGCAAGGGGGCGACCCUGAGCAAAUCUCCAAAAACCGUCUCAGUUCGGAUUGCACUCUGCAACUCGGGUGCAUGAAGGCGGAAUCGCUAGUAAUCGCGGAUCAGCAUGCCGCGGUGAAUACGUUCCCGGGUCUUGUACACACGC
rnacentral:rRNA from 1 species